rnacentral:rRNA from 1 species
UUAAGCGACUAAGCGUACACGGUGGAUGCCCUGGCAGUCAGAGGCGAUGAAGGACGUGCUAAUCUGCGAUAAGCGUCGGUAAGGUGAUAUGAACCGUUAUAACCGGCGAUUUCCGAAUGGGGAAACCCAGUGUGAUUCGUCACACUAUCAUUAACUGAAUCCAUAGGUUAAUGAGGCGAACCGGGGGAACUGAAACAUCUAAGUACCCCGAGGAAAAGAAAUCAACCGAGAUUCCCCCAGUAGCGGCGAGCGAACGGGGAGCAGCCCAGAGCCUGAAUCAGUGUGUGUGUUAGUGGAAGCGUCUGGAAAGGCGUGCGAUACAGGGUGACAGCCCCGUACACAAAAAUGCACAUGCUGUGAGCUCGAUGAGUAGGGCGGGACACGUGGUAUCCUGUCUGAAUAUGGGGGGACCAUCCUCCAAGGCUAAAUACUCCUGACUGACCGAUAGUGAACCAGUACCGUGAGGGAAAGGCGAAAAGAACCCCGGCGAGGGGAGUGAAAAAGAACCUGAAACCGUGUACGUACAAGCAGUGGGAGCACGCUUAGGCGUGUGACUGCGUACCUUUUGUAUAAUGGGUCAGCGACUUAUAUUCUGUAGCAAGGUUAACCGAAUAGGGGAGCCGAAGGGAAACCGAGUCUUAACUGGGCGUUAAGUUGCAGGGUAUAGACCCGAAACCCGGUGAUCUAGCCAUGGGCAGGUUGAAGGUUGGGUAACACUAACUGGAGGACCGAACCGACUAAUGUUGAAAAAUUAGCGGAUGACUUGUGGCUGGGGGUGAAAGGCCAAUCAAACCGGGAGAUAGCUGGUUCUCCCCGAAAGCUAUUUAGGUAGCGCCUCGUGAAUUCAUCUCCGGGGGUAGAGCACUGUUUCGGCAAGGGGGUCAUCCCGACUUACCAACCCGAUGCAAACUGCGAAUACCGGAGAAUGUUAUCACGGGAGACACACGGCGGGUGCUAACGUCCGUCGUGAAGAGGGAAACAACCCAGACCGCCAGCUAAGGUCCCAAAGUCAUGGUUAAGUGGGAAACGAUGUGGGAAGGCCCAGACAGCCAGGAUGUUGGCUUAGAAGCAGCCAUCAUUUAAAGAAAGCGUAAUAGCUCACUGGUCGAGUCGGCCUGCGCGGAAGAUGUAACGGGGCUAAACCAUGCACCGAAGCUGCGGCAGCGACGCUUAUGCGUUGUUGGGUAGGGGAGCGUUCUGUAAGCCUGUGAAGGUGUACUGUGAGGUAUGCUGGAGGUAUCAGAAGUGCGAAUGCUGACAUAAGUAACGAUAAAGCGGGUGAAAAGCCCGCUCGCCGGAAGACCAAGGGUUCCUGUCCAACGUUAAUCGGGGCAGGGUGAGUCGACCCCUAAGGCGAGGCCGAAAGGCGUAGUCGAUGGGAAACAGGUUAAUAUUCCUGUACUUGGUGUUACUGCGAAGGGGGGACGGAGAAGGCUAUGUUGGCCGGGCGACGGUUGUCCCGGUUUAAGCGUGUAGGCUGGUUUUCCAGGCAAAUCCGGAAAAUCAAGGCUGAGGCGUGAUGACGAAGCACUACGGUGCUGAAGCAACAAAUGCCCUGCUUCCAGGAAAAGCCUCUAAGCAUCAGGUAACAUCAAAUCGUACCCCAAACCGACACAGGUGGUCAGGUAGAGAAUACCAAGGCGCUUGAGAGAACUCGGGUGAAGGAACUAGGCAAAAUGGUGCCGUAACUUCGGGAGAAGGCACGCUGAUAUGUAGGUGAAGCGACUUGCUCGUGGAGCUGAAAUCAGUCGAAGAUACCAGCUGGCUGCAACUGUUUAUUAAAAACACAGCACUGUGCAAACACGAAAGUGGACGUAUACGGUGUGACGCCUGCCCGGUGCCGGAAGGUUAAUUGAUGGGGUCAGCGCAAGCGAAGCUCUUGAUCGAAGCCCCGGUAAACGGCGGCCGUAACUAUAACGGUCCUAAGGUAGCGAAAUUCCUUGUCGGGUAAGUUCCGACCUGCACGAAUGGCGUAAUGAUGGCCAGGCUGUCUCCACCCGAGACUCAGUGAAAUUGAACUCGCUGUGAAGAUGCAGUGUACCCGCGGCAAGACGGAAAGACCCCGUGAACCUUUACUAUAGCUUGACACUGAACAUUGAGCCUUGAUGUGUAGGAUAGGUGGGAGGCUUGGAAGUGUGGACGCCAGUCUGCAUGGAGCCGACCUUGAAAUACCACCCUUUAAUGUUUGAUGUUCUAACGUUGACCCGUAAUCCGGGUUGCGGACAGUGUCUGGUGGGUAGUUUGACUGGGGCGGUCUCCUCCUAAAGAGUAACGGAGGAGCACGAAGGUUGGCUAAUCCUGGUCGGACAUCAGGAGGUUAGUGCAAUGGCAUAAGCCAGCUUGACUGCGAGCGUGACGGCGCGAGCAGGUGCGAAAGCAGGUCAUAGUGAUCCGGUGGUUCUGAAUGGAAGGGCCAUCGCUCAACGGAUAAAAGGUACUCCGGGGAUAACAGGCUGAUACCGCCCAAGAGUUCAUAUCGACGGCGGUGUUUGGCACCUCGAUGUCGGCUCAUCACAUCCUGGGGCUGAAGUAGGUCCCAAGGGUAUGGCUGUUCGCCAUUUAAAGUGGUACGCGAGCUGGGUUUAGAACGUCGUGAGACAGUUCGGUCCCUAUCUGCCGUGGGCGCUGGAGAACUGAGGGGGGCUGCUCCUAGUACGAGAGGACCGGAGUGGACGCAUCACUGGUGUUCGGGUUGUCAUGCCAAUGGCACUGCCCGGUAGCUAAAUGCGGAAGAGAUAAGUGCUGAAAGCAUCUAAGCACGAAACUUGCCCCGAGAUGAGUUCUCCCUGAGACUUUAAGUCUCCUGAAGGAACGUUGAAGACGACGACGUUGAUAGGCCGGGUGUGUAAGCGCAGCGAUGCGUUGAGCUAACCGGUACUAAUGAACCGUGAGGCUUAACCUU